rnacentral:rRNA from 1 species
GACGAACGCUGGCGGCGUGCUUAACACAUGCAAGUCGAACGGAGUUACGUAUGAAGUAUUUCGGUACGGACUAUGUAACUUAGUGGCGAACGGGUGAGUAACACGUGGGCAACCUGCCCUUAACCGGGGGAUAACAUUGUGAAAACAGUGCUAAUACCGCAUAACAGAGUAUCGGGCAUCCGAUAUUUUUAAAAGGAGCAAUCCGGUUUAGGAUGGGCCCGCGUCCAAUUAGCUAGUUGGUGAGGUAACGGCUCACCAAGGCUACGAUUGGUAGCCGAACUGAGAGGUUGAUCGGCCACAUUGGGACUGAGACACGGCCCAGACUCCUACGGGAGGCAGCAGUGGGGAAUAUUGGGCAAUGGGCGAAAGCCUGACCCAGCGACGCCGCGUGAAGGAUGAAGGUCUUCGGAUUGUAAACUUCUUUGAUCAGGGAAGAAAGAAAUGACGGUACCUGAAGAACAAGCCACGGCUAAACUCGUAG